rnacentral:sRNA from 1 species
CAUUUUUAGUAUUACCAGGUGUUAGUAAGGGAGGAUACCUUGGUGAAACAUUAUUUGACUAAAUUUGUAGCAAUGCUAAUAACUGCUGCUAUGGUGUGUAGCUUUGGGUUACUGAAAAGUCAGGCAGCAGAACAACAAAGUAUUAGUGAUGUAUAUAGUGUGAUAACGGAUGCGAAAUCUGCACUUUCUAAUAAUUCGAUAUCGAAUGA